rnacentral:rRNA from 1 species
GAUGAACGCUAGCGGCAGGCUUAACACAUGCAAGUCGAGGGGUAGAGGCUUUCGGGCCUUGAGACCGGCGCACGGGUGCGUAACGCGUAUGCAAUCUGCCUUGUACUGGGGGAUAGCCCAGCGAAAUUUGGAUUAAUACCCCAUAGUAUUUUCGGUUGGCUUCAACCGAUUAUUAAAGUUUUUCGGUACACGAUGGGCAUGCGUCCCAUUAGCUAGUUGGUAUGGUAACGGCAUACCAAGGCUACGCUGGGUAGGGGUCCUGAGAGGGAGAUCCCCCACACUGGUACUGGGACACGGACCAGACUCCUACGGGAGGCAGCAGUGAGGAAUAUUGGUCAAUGGUCGCAAGACUGAACCAGCCAUGCCGCGUGCAGGAUGAAGCAUCUAUGGUGUGUAAACUGCUUUUGUACGGGAAGAAACACUCCUACGUGUAGGGGCUUGACGGUACCGUAAGAAUAAGGAUCGGCUAACUCCGUGCCAGCCGCCGCUGUAAAAC